UGAACGCUGGCGGCGUGCUUAACACAUGCAAGUCGCACGAGAACGCUUCAGCUUGCUGAAGUUAGUAAAGUGGCGCACGGGUGAGUAACGCGUGGGUAAUCUACCCUCGAAUUGGGGAUAACCCGCCGAAAGGCGGGCUAAUACCGAAUAAUAUCUUAAAAAUCUCGAUUUUAAAGAUCAAAGGAGGCCUCUACUUGUAAGCUUCUGUUUGAGGAUGAGCCCGCGUACCAUUAGCUUGUUGGUAGGGUAAUGGCCUACCAAGGCUACGAUGGUUAGCUGGUCUGAGAGGAUGAUCAGCCACACUGGAACUGACACACGGUCCAGACUCCUACGGGAGGCAGCAGUGAGGAAUUUUGCGCAAUGGGGGAAACCCUGACGCAGCAACGCCGCGUGAGUGAUGAAGGCUUUCGGGUCGUAAAGCUCUGUCAAGUGGGAAGAACCCACAUGGUGUUAAUACCACCAUGUGUUGACGGUACCACUGAAGGAAGCACCGGCUAACUCC
rnacentral:rRNA from 1 species